UACGGAGGGUGCAAGCGUUGUUCGGAUUUACUGGGCGUAAAGGGCGUGUAGGCGGAUGUGUCAGCCGGGGGUGAAAGCCCUGGGCUCAACCUGGGAACGGCUCCCGGAACUGCACAUCUAGAGAGAGUCAGAGGCAGGUGGAAUUCCAGGUGUAGAGGUGAAAUUCGUAGAUAUCUGGAGGAACACCGGCGGCGAAGGCGGCCUGCUGGGGCUUCUCUGACGCUGAGGCGCGAAAGCGUGGGGAGCAAACAGG
rnacentral:rRNA from 1 species